AUUGAACGCUGGCGGCAGGCCCAACACAUGCAAGUCGAGCGGAUGAAGGGAGCUUGCUCCUGGAUUCAGCGGCGGACGGGUGAGUAAUGCCUAGGAAUCUGCCUGGUAGUGGGGGAUAACGUCCGGAAACGGGCGCUAAUACCGCAUACGUCCUGAGGGAGAAAGUGGGGGAUCUUCGGACCUCACGCUAUCAGAUGAGCCUAGGUCGGAUUAGCUAGUUGGUGGGGUAAAGGCCUACCAAGGCGACGAUCCGUAACUGGUCUGAGAGGAUGAUCAGUCACACUGGAACUGAGACACGGUCCAGACUCCUACGGGAGGCAGCAGUGGGGAAUAUUGGACAAAGGGCGAAAGCCUGAUCCGGCCAUGCCGCGUGUGUGAAGAAGGUCUUCGGAUUGUAAAGCACUUUAAGUUGGGAGGAAGGGCAGUAAGUUAAUACCUUGCUGUUUUGACGUUACCAACAGAAUAAGCACCGGCUAACUUCGUG
rnacentral:rRNA from 1 species